rnacentral:Y_RNA from 1 species
AGCUGGUCCUAGUGCAAGGGUGUUUACAACUACUUUAUUACAACCAGUUACAGGUUUCUUUGUUCCUUCUCCACCACACUGCUUCACUUGACUAGCCUACC